CUCACCAUAGCUCAGUUGGUAGAGCGUCGGACUGUAAAUCCGCAGGUCCUGUGUUCGACUCACAGUGGUGAGA
rnacentral:tRNA from 1 species